rnacentral:rRNA from 1 species
AGGGACAGCAGCAGCCACGGUAAUACGGAGGGGGCUAGCGUUGUUCGGAAUUACUGGGCGUAAAGCGCACGUAGGCGGCUUGGUAAGUUAGAGGUGAAAGCCCGGAGCUCAACUCCGGAAUUGCCUUUAAGACUGCCGAGCUAGCAGGUGAGAGAGGUAAGUGGAAUUCCGAGUGUAGAGGUGAAAUUCGUAGAUAUUCGGAAGAACACCAGUGGCGAAGGCGGCUUACUGGCUCAUACUGGACGCUGAGGUGCGAAAGCGUGGGAGCAAACAGGAUUAGAUACCCCUGUAGUCCCUGUCUCUUAUACC